GGGAAAUAGGUGCACUGAAGGUGUAACCUGGGCAGGAAGGGCCUGGGGCAGCUUUGAUUAUCAUUUCCCUGUUUGCUGAGAGCUGUUUCAUUAACAGUUCCUUAGAAGGGUCCCAAGCCUUGGGGACAUUAACAUUUCAAUUUCCCCAAGUGCUGUUCUGCUUUCCCAGACUCCAUUCUCUAUAAUGGCCUCUAUUUUAGUUCUCUUACUCUAUUAGACCCAAUUUACCUAACUACACUAACUACCUAUCCGUAAAUCUGGCUUCAAUAAUGCACUAUGAUCAGUGCUGUAAGGGAAAAGCAGACCCAGGAGGGUUAGUGAGAACUUUAGAAUGCAAAGUGCAUGGGACUGGGUUAUGGAGGACCUUCUCUAUUUUAUUAUUAUUAUUUUUUUCCUUUUUUAAAAAUGUGAUGCUAGAGAUUGAACCCAGGGCCUCACACAUGCUGGGGAAGUACUGCACCACUGAGCUACACCUCCAGUUCCUUUAUAUGCCAUCUUGAGGACUUUAUUUAGUAGUCUAUGGACCAUUAAAGGUUUGUAUUUUAGAAGAAAAAAUGUUCUGUUUUCCCAUUGAUCAUAAUGAGGUAUUAGGGUAGCAAAAUGUGGUAACCACCCCAACUUCUCACUGCCUUCAAGUGUUUGCCCUUUUCAUCAAAGUCAAGUGUGACAGGCAGGCUCCAAGCUCCCAGAGACCCAUAAUUGUACUUAACUAUAACACAAUUGUUUCAUUAGAAUUUUUAAAGAUUUUUGUAUAAUUGUCUUAGUAAAACACAGGAUACUUCAUAACAUUUAUAAUUGAUUUGGCCAGAUUGAUCUAACAUGGUGCUCAUAACGACUUUACUUCCAUUACUAAUAAUUUCCCUAACUUAGAGUCAGUUGAAUAGAGAGUGCGCCUCUCACCCAAGCUUGGUCAUUCUGAUGUCUUCUAGGAGUUUUGGUGCUCCAGCUGAGUUGCUAGGCUGUUCCCUUGGAAAUCGUGUUCCUGGUGUAGUUUGGAAAAACCAAAGUGCAAUGGAAAUUAAAAGAUUACAAAGAAAACCAGACAUACAGAGGGGACUGUCCAGUUUCCUAGUGGGUUCCAAACAGACUCAACUAUCCUUCCUUGUCCUUGAAUUCUUACUACAUUUGGGCUGCUGUAACAAAAUAUAGACCUGAAUGGCUUAUAAACAGUAGAAAUUUAUAAGUACUAGCUGAAUAAAGAGCACAGAAAUCAGAAAAUAAGAUUAUAUAAAUCUUGGCAAGUUUUUAGGACUUUGAUGAUGAUCAAUUAUCUGACACAGGAAUGAGAAUCUCUGAUCCAGAAUUAGCAAAUAAAUAAUGAGUGUGAAAGUGUACACAUGAUAUAGCUCAGUACUUUAUAGGUGAUUAAUGCUUUUUGUGACCCUUAUCACCACUGUUAGCAAGUAAACACUGAUCUUGUUUUUUUAAUGCAUAAUUUUUCUUUGCUUUUUCUUGAAUCCUUUAAAAAUAUUUUCUACACUCAUAUUCAUAAGUGGGAUGCAAAAAAAAAGUACACAGUGUUCUAAAUAGUGUUUAUCUCAAAUAUCAGAAGUAGGAGUACAGAGAUUAAAGAAAUUCAAAGGCAGUUAAAUGAAAAUCAAAUGGAUUGUUGAAAUGAAAAAAAUCCAAAUUCCACAUUUGAAUGUGGUUCUGAGUUAAUGCUGAAUAAAUCUGUAAGAUUUGUUAGACACCCCCUCUUCUACCUAACAAAGAGAUUGUUGCCCAGAAUUAUAUAGAUCCUAUUCUGUGUUAGACACCAUCCUUUCUUGUUUAACUCUUUUUUGAGACUGUUUCCAUGAUAAGGACUUCUUAUGUCUCUAUUUAGAAAAAGUACAACCCUUCAUGUCCACAGACCUGUCAGUCAUCUCUAGCUUUCUACUGCAUAGGUCUUUGUGGUUCAUGAUUUUGAGGAUAAAACAUAGUUCAGUCUCAGCUCUCUGACUGUUGAUCACUUUAGGCUUUUGUCUUAUUAAAAAAAUAUUAAAAACAAUUUAAGAUAUUUUGAAGUAUUAACUGAAUUUUGAAACUAUAAGUUAAAAUAUUUCCAAAUACAAUUUGUAAAUUAUAGAUUCUACACUUUUUAAUUCUUCUAGUUUUCUAUUGUAGCUCAAUCUUGUGAAGCCAAAGGGGUGGGUGUGAGUUCUUCAGCGCUCAAAAUCCAGUCCUAAGGUGACAUGAUACAAGAUGAUCCUUAGCUCUCUCCAUUAUUUAUAAAUAAUUUAUAUAUAAAUUAUGCAAUUCAUAUAUUCAUUUUUUCAACAUUUGUAUUUACAUUUUCACUAUUUAAAAAAUAUAGGGGCUGAGGUUGUAGCUCAGUGGUAGAGCACUUACCUAGCAUAUGUGAGGCCCUGGGUUCAAUUCCUAGCACCACAUAAAACUAAAUAAACAAAAUAAAGGUAUUGUGUUCAUCUACAACUAAAAUUUUUUUUUAUUAAAUAUAGAAGUGUUAAAAGUAAAAAAUGACUGUCUCCCUCUUUCUACCAUCUUCACUCCAUCACAUUCCCCAAGAGAAUCUGUUGUCAACAGUUUUUGGAUAACCUGGUUCUUGUAUUAGUGACUAAAAUAAAAACUACUUCCUCUGGUCAUAAGAUGUGGUCUUUCCAUCAAACAAACUUGGAGUAUUUUUUAAGAAGGCCAACCAGAAACCUACACUCUGGACAAGUCACCAGUCUUCCCAACAAUUUCUGGGUCUUCCAUAGUCAUGGGUUAACCACCUCACUACACCUACCCUGUAUUUAUCUAUGAUCCUUUCUUCAUACAGCAGUCACACUGAUCUUUGCAAAGCACAAAUUUGAUAUUUUUAUUAUCACGCCUCCUGCUGGAAACAUUGUCAUGACUUCUGGUUUUUUAGACCAAAAUACUUAACUGCUGUGCAGCCUAAUCUCAAUUCACUCUCAACCACAUCUUGAUCUAACUAACAGGAUGCUCUUGGCAUCCUGUCACACUGGCUCUUGGUGGCUUUUUGGUGAAUGCUGUUCUCACACCUGUGAAAUUAUUCCCAUCUAUUCCCUGUUAGGCCCUUUAGUUAGCUUCUACUCAAUCUUCAGGAGUUAGUUUAGGUGUUCCUCCCUCAGUGGCAACCAACUUUUCCUGAACUAAUCAGAAAGUUUCUCUUGUUCUCAGAGAAUCUCAUAGUAUCCUACCUAUAUUUCUCUCGUGACAUUUAAUAUGAUAUAAAAUUUUGUUUCAUUAUCAUUGCUUAUUUGAUUAGUAUAUUUUUUUACGUUAAACUCCAGUUCUUUUAUUCUUUUUCUUUUUUACUUUUUUGGUGUUAAUGGAAAUCAAACCCAGGGCCUCAUACUAGGCAUGUACUCCACCACUGAACUGUAUCUCUAGUGCCUAGACUGGUAUUUUAAUAGAGUGUCUGGCACAUAGUUGGAGCUCUUUAUUACUUAUUGAAUGAAGUAUUCCUUUCUGUACUACCCUAGUCUUUUCCAUUGUAACCUUUGUUUCAAUGAUAUAUCAUUUCCCAAAAAGUUCUCUUUUUUGUCCUUUGGAACUGGGAUUGAACUCAGAGGCUCUUUACUAUUGAGCUACAUCCCUAGCCAUUUUUAUGUUUUUUACUUUGAAACAUGGUCUCAGUUAGCAAGACCCUGUCUCAAAAAAAAAAAAAAAAAAGUGUGGGGGAGGUGCUGGGGAUGUGGCUCAGUGGUUAAGCACCCCUGAGUUCAAUUCCCAGUACAAAAACAAACUAAAUAUUCUCUGAGGCCAUAUUAAGAGUUUUACAAGACAGGAGUACAUGCGAAUGUUUCAAACCAAGAUCCAUGCUCUAUAGGGACUGGUAUUUUGGGCCAGCUGCUCUUCCAGACCCAGUGUUAUCAAAAGGCAUCUAUACAGGAUUUUUUUCCUUUUUUUUUAAACACAGGACUGGAGGAUAUCACUUAUAUUUAGUAGAUGGAGCCAAAUGUUAAAUGUAGGGAGUUCUUCACAACAAAUUAUUGAUUUCAAUUAUGCCCCUACAUAAGUGUGAAAGGGGACUCAGAAGAGGUUUCAGAAUGGAGUUUUCAGAAUGCCAGAGGUAAAGGUAAACAUUAAGCCUUCAAGUAAAUAGAGGUUUUCCAUUUGAGUAUGAACAUGGCAAGUUCUUAGAACAUUUCUUAACACCUCAUCAUUAGCCAAGUAUUGGUUUAGUAGCUAAACUGACAUACUUAGAUUUAAUCAACUCUAGAGAACAUUAUACUUUAUCCCUACUUAUUUGAUAUCCAAAUUCCAUCACAAACCCUGCUGAAAAAAAAAUUAAGUGAACCUUGCUGAGGUGUCCAGAAAGGUAACAACCUGUGAAAUCUGAGGAUUCUUUUCCUCUCCCUGCAGCUAACUGGUAUUCUGGAAAACAACUCUGCAUUGAUACCUUCCUUUAACUCCCCAUAGAAAGUCCUUUAUAGAAUCAUGACUUAAUAUUCUCCUUUUUUGAGGAUUGGUAGAUAAAAAUGAGUCAAUAACAUUCCUUUAACGUUUUAAUGUCUCAUGUUCCUUGUCUAGAUAUUCUAAAAUUUAGUGUUAGGAAAUUUUUUUCUCUUUUGAUACUUGCUGAUAUUAUGUAGUAGAUCUAGGUAAUUCAUUUUCUUCCCUUUUGCUUUGAUUGCUGAGAAACUCAAAGCUGAAACUUGUGCUUAAUUAGAAUUAAUUAAUUUUAAACUAGGUUUUCUAGUAUGUAACCUUUUCAGUAGGACUUGAAGUAAUUCUUCAUUUUGUUGUAUAUUUUACAUGCAAAACAAUGACCACAGAUUAGUUGCCUGUUCUUGAAUUUUAUUUGAAUGGAAUCAUAUAGUAUGUAAUCCGUAUGUACAUAAUCUUUUUUUUUUUUGUCCUAAUUCAUAGCCACAGAGAAUAAAAUUUGUGCAUACUUGAAACAAAGCAUGUUCCAUGGUAGCAUACAUAGCUGAUAUGCAUGGGAUUUUUUAAAAUUUUGAUUUAUAUUUGUUUUUGUACCUAAUUCAUACAAUUCUGUUUCCGUAGCUCUUCUUUGGUGUAUUUAGACAUUCCUUUUCUAUCCUCUCAACCAAAGACAUUUAUAAAGCACAAAUCUAGUGACAUCCAGAGAAAGUUCACACAGAGCUAUUUUUAUUUUAUUGAUUUUAUUUUGCAAACUCGUUUAUCUCCAUUCUACUUCCAGAGAAUAAUCAAAACCCAAUAACAUAUAUAAUCUUUUUACCUGGCUUUUUUCCACUUUUAUGUUUUGGGCAUUCAUCCAUGUUGUAUAAAUUAGUAGUUGUUUCUUUUCAGUUGCUAAAUAAUAUUUCAUUUUUUGUAUAUGAGUUAUCCUUUCUCCUGUGUAUGAGUAUUUUGGUUGUUUAUAGUUUAUGGCUGGUAUGAAU
rnacentral:lncRNA from 1 species